UACGUAGGGUGCGAGCGUUGUCCGGAAUUACUGGGCGUAAAGAGCUCGUAGGUGGUUUGUCGCGUUGUCCGUGAAAACUCACAACUCAAUUGUGGGCGUGCGGGCGAUACGGGCAGACUGGAGUACUGCAGGGGAGACUGGAAUUCCUGGUGUAGCGGUGGAAUGCGCAGAUAUCAGGAGGAACACCGGUGGCGAAGGCGGGUCUCUGGGCAGUAACUGACGCUGAGGCGCGAAAGCGUGGGGAGCAAACGGG
rnacentral:rRNA from 1 species